ensembl:lncRNA
CCCCUGGUUCUCGUUCACAGUCUCGCAGACAGUAUCUCUGACCUCAAUCUCUGUACACACGGUACAGAGGAUAUGGGACACUCAACCCGGUGACUCCUGGCAGUUCUUCAGCACUCGCUGUUUUCUCUUAUUUCCUUUUAGGAUAGAAAAUUACUGCUACAGCUUGAACUACUGACUUCUCAGCGAGCUUGAUGCCAUGAACAGUUCUCUGCCAGCAGACACCACACCACGCAACUUGUGGAUGAGCUGACUGCAGAAACACAGCUAUGGCAUCUCCAGGCAAAGAGAGCAUCCCACGUGAUCGAAGUCCUCUCUGCAAAUGAAAAGGCUCUGCUGUUUCGCACGCCUGGAAUCACAGCCUGGAAUCACAAUGCAUGUGUGACCCUUCUCACCUUCAAAUGUGGAGGAUUCAUCAGUGGCAAUGGUGGUGGCGAGAUGGAUUUCUUGUCAACAGACCUGGGAGGACGUGCUUUAAUUAAAAGAGAGCAGUGCCUCUUGAAGG